CAACGUUGUAUUUUGACUGUUUAUCUGUCUGCAUGCUUGUCUGUUCGGCUUGUCUAUGGUGUAUUGGAGGUAAACUGAUGACAGCAGCAGAUAUAGAAGCAUAGAUGUCGGAUACUUGUUAUUAGGAGCUGAUCGUAUCCUGUAGACUCAUGAUGAUCGCCAUAUCGUAACGAGAUGAAGUAACGGAUAGGUACACCGGAGCUUGUAUCACACACGCAGCCUAUCACGCUUUUCCACCGUGAAAGCUCACAGAAAUAGAAAGCAGUACACACAGGCUCUGCCUCUGUGUAACGGUAAAUCUAAAGAGUGUAUCUAAAAAAACUACUGAUGUCGCAUAAGGACUGUCUUACAGAAAGGUCGUCGUCUUCUUCCUUUCGGAUAACCGUAGUUCGGAUAGGAUAACUCGAAUUCAAUACGUUGUUUCAAUCAUCCGCUUCAGAAAUUUACAGAGUCACCCGUGCAGGUACGUAUAGAUCAGUGGGCACUAUGUAGCGGACGUAUAUGCAUGUGGUGACGUUGAAUCCUCUGAGUGAAUCAUUUUAUCGAGUUGUUGGAGCCCAGUUAAAGAAAGAUUUCAAGCCAGUUAAAUUUAGUAGCUGAUUGACUUAGCGUUACUCAACCCACUUAACCAAAGUAACCACCUAAGGGUUUUUUGUUGACGUACGCUGUUUACGGAGCGGUGCUGCUCGCGAUGGCUCUAGAGCAAACUAUUCAUUAGUUGCGUAGGAAACGGCCGUUACUCUACAUCCGUUAACAAAACAAGCCCAACUUCGAAAAAUCGCGCACUCUUUUGCACAGUUGCUCCCCCACAUACUAUCACCAUUAACAAUAGUCGCACACUACCGCGAAUAAGAGCGUAUCACUAAAGCAAGGUUCGCUGCAGCGACAACUCGCCGCUGUGACUACGGAAACUAUAAUACCAGCAUCUUCUCCAAGGGUGGUUUGCGCGUUUGCUAGACAACAGAAGCGAUUCGCGCGCAGUUCAGCCUCUCAGCUAUUGUAGACGGCUCUUUCCAUAGUUUUUUUGUCGGGCAGCAGUAGUCGCUAUGUGCGCGAUACUGCAUCCCAAAUAUAUGUAAAGUUACGGUAGGCAAACAGACGUCCUUACCACGGCGGUAAUUACCCACCCCACUACAACACUGACAACUACUGUUAUGACUGACAUUGGCAGACAGAGACGCGUACAGAUGCAGAGAAUGUCGCUAACUAGUAGAACCUUACCGUUAUCGCUGCUGUUGCUCGUUUAUCUACAAAACCAAUGGCAAAUGGGGUGCAACACUAUUUUGGCCACGACUCUGCUGCUGUCGUAGCCGCCCUACGCAAAUUGUUCGGGUAAUAUUUUGGCGUCUUGUCUAAUAACAACUGUCUGUCUAUCGUAACAUGUAUGACUUACUUGGCCGAUCUGUCAGUCCGAUGAGGGUUCGCUUCAUAACUGGAAAAAAAAAAAAAAGCUGCUCUUGUCCUUGUAGGAUGUAGAAACGAUUCAUAUAACGUGGAUUUGGGUUGCACAACAUUUUCGGUAUAACUAGACCGCUCUCCAGUACAUCGAUAGUGGAAAUGCUGUUCAAUCAGUUGGUGUCCUUAUGAUUACUUCCGAGUAUUACGAACGGGAAUGGACCUAUAAAUGGGGGAUUGAAUCGCCUAUCCACGCACUCAGUAUACUAAGUUACAGGAUUCAUCUGUUGAUAUUUUUCCCGCACGCAGGAUAGCUCCCUGUUCAUUCGCACCGUCUGUACAUUUCAAUGAACCGUGUCACAAUAAUUGUCAUCGGUACAUUGUAUGGCAAUCAUCCGAAGUUAAUUGCAGGUUCAUAUUGAAGGAUUAGCUCUCCACAUCAUCAAACGGAACUAUGCCCAGUUGGAAAAGUGUCUCGGUCAUAAAUGAGGUCUGAUCCACAGUUUAACACCUAUAGCCUGAACGAUUUCGACGAAUCGUCAUCCUAUAGGAUUACGUAAAUUAUAAUAAUAUAAUAAAUAAAUAAAUAGGCUACGUAGGAUUACGUAGUCACGGAAAAUCGAAGUAUUCGCUACGCGUGUACAAUGUCAUAAUGAUACACCGUGUGCCUUAAAAGUAUAAUUUCCUAUAAUGCUUGAAUGAAUUUGUUAAAUGAUAUGCUUCAAGACAAGACUCAAGCAUCGAUCAUAUAUGAGUCGAUUUUUUUCGUACCUUUUAGCCCAUUUACAAGGAGGAGUACCUUCGCUGGCCCAUUGUUACACCGAUCCCAAACAAAGCGAUGAUGGAAAAUGGGUACGAACAGCAGAACAUAAACAUCAUAUUUGACAUUGGUGUCAAUAUCCGAUCUGUUCUGUCUGUGAAGCAACACCAAAUGGCUGUAGGAAGCGCUGACGAAUAAAAGAAACACAGUUUCAAUUUA